GGAGGAUUCUUGCUUGGCUGACAGGGUCGAGUCACCCAACUUGCUAAAGUCUCAAAUGGGCUGAUGUGACGAAGUCGGAGCUGACGGUUAUGAGAGAGUGGGGGAAGGCAGAUAUAUCAGCCCUAGAAUGAGAACUACUUGGGCCUACUCUGCGGCCCAGUGAAAAAUAAACCAGAGUGCAGAAUUAAAACCCUCUGGAGUAGGACUGAUUUACUCCCCAGCAGAGGGAGAAAUGCUGAAGCUGAGGGGGUGAAGGAGGGUGCCUCGCCAUGCAUCCCAUUGGUCGAGAGAAUGCUGACCUCUGAUGGGAAACUGAGCUACAGAGAAAAGGAGAAUUGAGACACGGAAGAACUGACACUGGACUGGCUGCAAGAACAAUAGGAGCCAUAUGGCAUCAUGAACAAUGGGAGAAAAAGAAGAGUUCAACUAUGAAAGCCAGAAAAGAGAAGUGAAGAUGAACCAGAGCCAAAUGCAAGAUUGUGUAACAGCCACAUAAGAGCACAGCUGACUUGUGAGCACAACUGAAAAUAGCUGAUAAAAUAGCCCAGAAAACUAAACAAAAUCAGAAAAGAAUGAGACUAAUCAUGGAUCUUAGCAAUAGAAAUGUCCUACUGGCUCCCCAAGUCCACUGCUCCAUGCAGUGUGUAAGGUGGGACAUUUUCAAGAGUUUCAAGAUGAUUUUGAAGCCUACAUCUCAAAUCUGUUUUGUAAAUGUGACUUGAGCAUUCUUGAAAAUGUUACCCCAAUAAACUUUCUCUUGAUUUUCAAGAAA